rnacentral:rRNA from 1 species
UGAGGGAUAUUGGGCAAUGGAGGCAACUCUGACCCAGCCAUGCCGCGUGAGUGAAGAAGGUUUUCGGAUUGUAAAGCUCUUUCGGGUGUGACGAUGAUGACGGUAGCACCUAAAGAAGCCCCGGCUAACUUCGUGCCAGCAGCCGCGGUAAUACGAAGGGGGCAAGCGUUGUUCGGAAUUACUGGGCGUAAAGGGAGUGUAGGCGGUUAUGUAAGAUAGUGGUGAAAUCCCAGAGCUUAACUUUGGAAUUGCCAUUAUGACUAUGUGGCUAGAAUUACAGAGAGGAUAGUGGAAUACCCAGUGUAGAGGUGAAAUUCGUAGAUAUUGGGUAGAACACCAGUGGCGAAGGCGACUAUCUGGCUGUAUAUUGACGCUGAGGCUCGAAAGCAUGGGGAUCAAACAGGAUUAGAUACC